rnacentral:rRNA from 1 species
AGCGGAGGAAAAGAAACUAACAAGGAUUCCCCUAGUAACGGCGAGUGAAGAGGGAAGAGCUCAAAUUUUAAAUCUGCCUUGUUUCAAGGUCGAGUUGUAAUUUGAAGAAGCGUUUUCUUGGGCUCGCGGCCGGUAGAAGUUCUUUGGAACAGGACAUCAUAGAGGGUGACAAUCCCGUCUGCGACCGGUCGUGCGUUCAUCUACGAUACGCUUUCAAAGAGUCGAGUUGUUUGGGAUUGCAGCUCCAAAUGGGUGGUAAACAUCACCUAAGGCUAAAUAUUGGCGAGAGACCGAUAGCGAACAAGUACCGUGAGGGAAAGAUGAAAAGAACUUUGAAAAGAGAGUUAAACAGUACGUGAAAUUGUUGAAAGGGAAACGAUUGAAGUCAGUCGUGCUGGCGCGAAAUCAACCCUCUCGUUGAGAGGUCACAUGGCGUGGCGAGCCUCAAAACCGUCACGAAGCGUGAACUCUUGRCGAAAAGGAGCACUUUCGUGUCCGCUGGUUAACAUCAAUUUCGAACGUCAUAAAAAGGCUGGAGGGAUGUGGCUCCUUCGGGAGUGUUAUAACCUUUAGCGGAAUGUGGUGGUCGGGAUUGAGGAUUGCAACGAAUACCUUUAGGGCUGUUCCACCUGGCUUCUCUUUGGUAUCCUGGUGACGACAGCUUGCUGACGUUGUUAGGAUUCGCCUUUGAACAGGCUAGAGUGUGAGCAAAUUCGUUAAGGAUGUUAACGUAAUGGCUUUAAACGACCCGUCUUG